GAGAAUGGGAUAGAGGAAGCUGUGGAGAGAACUCACCGUGCCUGUGGUUCGAGAUCCCCGCCUUCCUCCUCCUUUCCUC
ensembl:miRNA